CAGACAGUUUCGACACUUUGCAAAGACAAAGAGCCCUAGACCGGAGGGAAGAGGAGGAGGAAGAAGAGGAGCGGAGAGAGAAGGAAGAGGCGAUGUGAGCUGGGAAGGGGGCAAGUGUCCGGGACACCCACACCCCUGUAUUCUCUUCCGAACCCCCUCAUGCCCAAAUCCCGGAAACUCCAGCGUGUCUCCAGCCGUGUUGGUUCCAUUUUCAGAUUUCAUCUUCCUGAACUGGAAAUGUCAAUGAGAGGAAAUUAACACCCCCAAGAGCUGCAGUGAGCAAAUGCGUUGAGCUUGGAUCAGGACAAUUCCAUUUGGGGACCAGAGAUGGACGGUCACUCAGCCUAUGGAGAUGACAGACAACCUUCUGUGCCUUCAUCAAGUUGGUUGUGUACACACCAUGCCCCUGGUGACAGCAUGGGAAAGAAAAAGCCCUAAUUAAGGAUCAUCAGAAACCACAGUUGGAGGAGGACGGCAGAGACAGCUUCCCUCCCCGCUAUACCAAGACCCUUCCCUCGAGGUCCUCGCUCCUGAGGGACCCUGGACUGUCACAGAGAUUAAUGACCCCUUAUCUUCUUUGGAUGGGAAAGGAAAUCACUGGUUAAAGCUUGAUCAAGAGACAUUAUCAGCUCUUUAAAGAUUGCAGAAAAAUAGGCUACUUUAUCUUCUGAAAAGGUAAAUAUAUGCAAGCAAAGCCAACAUGCCACGAAUGGCCUUGGUCUACCACACAGUGGUGUCUGGGACACAGUUGAGGGUCAUCCCCCAGCGGGAGUGAAGUCGAGCUUAGCGGCCCUUGUGUCCUCCCUUGGAAUUCCCGCCAUCCCUUCUGAUUGAGCCUCCACCUCUGGGAUUUUUCUUCCGUUUUUCUCCUCUCUUAGGAGGGAGUUCCUGCUACCCAUUGUGGGAGGCCACCAUCAGGACUGC
rnacentral:sRNA from 1 species